GGAGUGACUUUCAUCAAAAGGUUAACAUGACAUCUGAAGAAAAUAAUGAUGCUAGUGAUUGGCACUUGGAAGCUCUUAAAGAUUAUACUUCUAUAUAUGCAGAUGAACAUGAUCGUAAAGGGUUGGAAAUAGACUUCUUGAAGUAGUUGUGCUGCUGUCUAUUUUGUAAUAGCAAUGUUAGGCACUAUGAUUUUUUUGUUGAUAGGAGAUUUUAUGUAGGAUUAUGUAUUUAUGAUAGUAAUGUUAUGCUGCAAGUAAUUUUGUAUGAGAGUCUAUCUAUGAUAGUAAUGUUAUGAUGUGAACAAUUUGUAAUUAAACUUGUCUAAUCUUGGAUCUCUAGCUAUAUAAAAUGAA